UAAAAAAAACUUUGAAAAGAGAGUUAAAUAGUACGUGAAAUUGUUGAAAGGGAAGGGCUUAUGACCAGACCUUUGCAUUGAGGAUCAUCCGGUGUUCUCACCGGUGCACUUCUCUUUGUUGAGGCCAGCAUCAGUUCUAGUUGGGGGAUAAAGACUUUAGGAAUGUGAUUCCUCCGGGAAUGUUAUAGCCUUUUGUGUAAUACCCUGACCGGGACUGAGGACCGCGCUUCGGCUAGGAUGCUGGCAUAAUGGUCAUCAGCCACCCGUCUUGAAACACGGACCAAGGAGUCGAACAUUUAUGCGAGUGUUUGGGUGUUAAACCCUCACGCGUAAUGAAAGUGAACGGAGGUGAGAGCCCUUACGGGUGCAUCAUCGACCGAUCCUGAUGUCUUCGGAUGGAUUUGAGUAAGAGCAUAACUGUUCGGACCCGAAAGAUGGUGAAUUAUGCGUGGAUAGGGUGAAGCCAGAGGAAACUCUGGUGGAGGCUCGCAGCGGUUCUGACGUGCAAAUCGAUCGUCAAAUCUGCGCAUGGGGGCGAAAGACUAAUCG
rnacentral:rRNA from 1 species